ACGAACGCUGGCGGCAGGCCUAAAACAUGCAAGUCGAACGAACCUUCGGGUUAGUGGCGCACGGGUGAGUAACACGUGGGAAUGUGCCUCUGGGUGCGGAACAACGUCGGGAAACUGACGCUAAUACCGCAUAAUGUCUACGGACCAAAGAUUUAUUGCCCAGAGAUCAGCCCGCGUCUGAUUAGCUAGUUGGUGAGGUAAUGGCUCACCAAGGCGACGAUCAGUAGCUGGUCUGAGAGGAUGAUCAGCCACACUGGAACUGAGACACGGUCCAGACUCCUACGGGAGGCAGCAGUUAGGAAUAUUGGACAAUGGGGGCAACCCUGAUCCAGCCAUGCCGCGUGUGUGAAGAAGGCCUUAGGGUUGUAAAGCACUUUCGGCUGUGAAGAUAAUGACAGUAGCAGAAGAAGAAGCUCCGGCUAAAUUCGUGCCAGCCGCCGCAGUAA
rnacentral:rRNA from 1 species